GGAGGGAGCUAGCGUUGUUCGGAAUUACUGGGCGUAAAGCGCGCGUAGGCGGUUUUUUAAGUCAGAGGGGAAAGCCCAGUGCUCAACACUGGAACUGCCUUUGAAACUGGAAAACUUGAAUCUUGGAGAGGUCAGUGGAAUUCCGAGUGUAGAGGUGAAAUUCGUAGAUAUUCGGAAGAACACCAGUGGCGAAGGCGACUGACUGGACAAGUAUUGACGCUGAGGUGCGAAAGCGUGGGGAGCAAA
rnacentral:rRNA from 1 species